ACCGCGGUUAUACAAAUAAUACAAAUAAGAUUUAUUAGUAAUAGUUAAUUUGUUUAUGAUUUAAAAUUAAUUUAAAUUUUUUAAGUGAAAUUUUAAAUUUAAUUAAUUUUAUAAUAAAAAUUUAAUGAAGCUAGAAAAUUUUAAUAAUAAACUAGGAUUAGAUACCCUAUUAUUUAAAAAGUAAAAAUUAAUACUUGAGUAGUAAUAGAUAUGAUCUUCAAACUUAAAGAAUUUGGCGGUGUUUUAGUCUAUUUAGAGGAACCUGUCCUGUAAUCGAUAAUCCACGUUGGACCUUACUAAAAUUUGUUUUCAAUUUGUAUAUCGCCGUUAUCAGAAUAUCUUAAAAGAGGAAUAAUUUUCUUAAUUUAUAAUUAUAAUUGAUGUCAGGUCAAGGUGCAGUUUAUAUUUUAGUAGAGAUGGGUUACAAUAAAUUUAUUUAAACGUUAAAUUAUUUGAAAUAAUAAUUUUAAGGUGGAUUUAAAAGUAAAAUAAUGGAUAUAAUUUAUUUGAUUAUAGCUCUAAAACAUGCACAC
rnacentral:rRNA from 1 species